UACGUAGGGUGCAAGCGUUGUCCGGAAUUAUUGGGCGUAAAGAGCUCGUAGGCGGUCUGUCGCGUCGGCUGUGAAAUCCCGAGGCUCAACCUCGGGUCUGCAGUCGAUACGGGCAAACUAGAGUAUUGCAGGGGAGACUGGAAUUCCUGGUGUAGCGGUGAAAUGCGCAGAUAUCAGUAGGAACACCGGUGGCGAAGGCGGGUCUCUGGGCAAUAACUGACGCUGAGGAGCGAAAGCGUGGGGAGCGAACAGG
rnacentral:rRNA from 1 species